GACGAACGCUGGCGGCGUGCUUAACACAUGCAAGUCGAACGGAAAGGCCCUGCUUUUGUGGGGUGCUCGAGUGGCGAACGGGUGAGUAACACGUGAGUAACCUGCCCUUGACUUUGGGAUAACUUCAGGAGACUGGGGCUAAUACCGGAUAGGAGCUCCUGCUGCAUGGUGGGGGUUGGAAAGUUUCGGCGGUUGGGGAUGGACUCGCGGCUUAUCAGCUUGUUGGUGGGGUAGUGGCUUACCAAGGCUUUGACGGGUAGCCGGCCUGAGAGGGUGACCGGCCACAUUGGGACUGAGAUACGGCCCAGACUCCUACGGGAGGCAGCAGUGGGGAAUAUUGCACAAUGGGCGGAAGCCUGAUGCAGCAACGCCGCGUGCGGGAUGACGGCCUUCGGGUUGUAAACCGCUUUCGCCUGUGACGAAGCGUGAGUGACGGUAAUGGGUAAAGAAGCACCAGCUAACUACGUG
rnacentral:rRNA from 1 species